rnacentral:rRNA from 1 species
UACGUAGGGGGCAAGCGUUGUCCGGACUCAUUGGGCGUAAAGCGCGUGUAGGCGGUUCGAUAAGUCUGCUGUGAAAGUCAAAGGCUUAACCUUUGAAUGCCAGUGGAUACUGUCGGACUAGAGUGCGGAAGAGGCAAGUGGAAUUCCUGGUGUAGCGGUGAAAUGCGCAGAUAUCAGGAGGAACACCAACGGCGAAGGCAGCUUGCUGGGACGUUACUGACGCUGAGACGCGAAAGCGUGGGGAGCAAACAGG